rnacentral:rRNA from 1 species
GACGAACCGUACGAACGUUAUUCGGAAUUACUGGGCUUAAAGGGUGCGUAGGCGGCGCAGUAAGUUGGGUGUGAAAUCCCUCGGCUUAACCGAGGAAUUGCGCCCAAAACUACUGUGCUCGAGGGAGAUAGAGGUGAGCGGAACUUAGGGUGGAGCGGUGAAAUGCGUUGAUAUCCUAAGGAACACCGGUGGCGAAAGCGAGCUGCUGGACCUCUGCUGACGCUGAGGCGCGAAAGCCAGGGGAGCAAACGGG